rnacentral:tRNA from 1 species
UAAAGAUAGAGUCCCGUUCU